rnacentral:rRNA from 1 species
CGGCAGGCGGCAGCUACACAUGCAAGUCGAGCGGUAGCACAGAGAGCUUGCUCUCGGGUGACGAGCGGCGGACGGGUGAGUAAUGUCUGGGAAACUGCCUGAUGGAGGGGGAUAACUACUGGAAACGGUAGCUAAUACCGCAUAACGUCGCAAGACCAAAGAGGGGGACCUUCGGGCCUCUUGCCAUCAGAUGUGCCCAGAUGGGAUUAGCUAGUAGGUGGGGUAACGGCUCACCUAGGCGACGAUCCCUAGCUGGUCUGAGAGGAUGACCAGCCACACUGGAACUGAGACACGGUCCAGACUCCUACGGGGAGGCAGCUGA